rnacentral:rRNA from 1 species
CUCUGGGUGACGAGCGGCGGACGGGUGAGUAAUGUCUGGGAAACUGCCUGAUGGCGGGGGAUAACUAGUGGAAACGGUAGCUAAUACCGCAUAACGUCGCAAGACCAAAGUGGGGGACCUUCGGGCCUCACGCCAUCAGAUGUGCCCAGGUGGGAUUAGCUGGUAGGUGGGGUAACGGCUCACCUAGGCGACGAUCCCUAGCUGGUCUGAGAGGAUGACCAGCCACACUGGAACUGAGACACGGUCCAGACUCCUACGGGAGGCAGCAGUGGGGAAUAUUGCACAAUGGGCGCAAGCCUGAUGCAGCCAUGCCGCGUGUGUGAAGAAGGCCUUCGGGUUGUAAAGCACUUUCAGCGAGGAGGAAGGGUAAUGU